AAAGUAAAAUAACCGAAUGGAUAC
rnacentral:siRNA from 1 species